CGCUGGCGGCGCGCCUAACACAUGCAAGUCNAGCGAGAACCAGGGCUUCGGCCCUGGGGACAGCGGCGAACGGGUGAGUAACACGUGGAUAACCUGCCCUCGGCACCGGAAUAGCCCGGGGAAACCCGGAUUAAUGCCGGAUAGCCCCACAUCCCUGCGGGGAACGUGGGAAAAGGUAGCUUCGGCCUCUGGCCGAGGAUGGGUCCGCGGUGGAUUAGCUUGUUGGCGGGGUAACGGCCCACCAAGGCGACGAUCCAUAGCUGGUCUGAGAGGACGAUCAGCCACACUGGGACUGAGACACGGCCCAGACUCCUACGGGAGGCAGCAGUGGGGAAUCUUGCGCAAUGGGCGAAAGCCUGACGCGGCGACGCCGCGUGCGGGAAGAAGGCCUUCGGGUUGUAAACCGCUUUCAGGAGGGACGAAGCCACUCGGGCUAAUAGCCCAGAGGGUGACGGUACCUCCAGAAGAAGCCCCGGCUAACUACGUGCCAGCAGCCGCGGUAAUACGUAGGGGGCAAGCGUUGUCCGGAUUCAUUGGGCGUAAAGAGCGUGUAGGCGGCCAGGUAGGUCGGUUGUGAAAACUGGAGGCUCAACCUUCAGAGGUCGACC
rnacentral:rRNA from 1 species